CCCAGUCCACGCCCCGCGUCGUCCUCCCCUUCUCCUCUUCCUCGCUCUUGCGACCGAAAUCGCCGCCGCCGUCGCCGUCGCCGCUCAACCCCGGCCGCCUCCGGUGGUUUCUGCCGCCGUCGCCUAGCGCGAACGACGCACCUAGCCGCCCUUUAUCAUCUCCUCCUCUUAGAUUUUCCGGGCGCCUCCUCGUGCGGCUGUGCCCUACCCCGCAUGGGAGCUAGGGUUUGCGCCCCUCGUCGGAGUUGAACUCCGGCGGCCGUCCUGGUGCUCGGGUGGUCAUGGUCGCCGCCCCCUCCCCCGCCCUAACCGCCGCGGACGCGAGGCAGGCCGCGGCGAGGAAGAAGGAGGAGGACGACGAGGAGGUCGUCUGCUUCAUCUGCUUCGACGGUGGAGACCUCGUCGUCUGCGAUUGGAGGUGCGACGCCGCAGUGCGCGACUUCUUCCACGCCUGGAUGGUCAUUGAGCGCGCCCCUCCUGAUUGCAGUCAGUGCCGCCGCCGUCUCCAAGCUGCAGAGUCCCGUUCCUUUCAGCCCGUGCGUUUCCUCAGCGUGAGAUCGAUCGGGAUGUCCCUAAUCUACUGUGUGUACUUUUAACUGAAUUUCCGACAGUGCGUUUGCUCAGCGUGAGAUGGAUCAUCGAGUUGCCACACAUGCUGCCAUCUCAAAAAGCAUUUUAUGCUGCUGUAUCUUCCCUUGGCAUCUACAGCAAAGCUGUUUACGAUGGAAAGGGGCUAUUUAGCGCCGCUCGUGUUUGGUGGAUGUUUCGUGCUUAUGGACAUGACAAAGUCUGGGUUUUGGAUGGAGGUUUGCCCCAGUGGCGUGCUUCUGGGUAUGGCGUGGAAUCAAGUGCCUCCAGCGAUGCUAUCUUAAAAGCUAGUGUUGCUAGUGAAGCAAUCGAGAAGGUUUACCAGGGGAGUCGGUAACUUUUUCUAUUCUUCUCUUCUAUGUUUUAUGCUACAGUAAUAACCAUACUUCGCUGAAUUAAAUCACACCAUGAGUCUUUUUGAUCAUUUGCUUUCAGUCUGUCAUGGUUUGCUGAAGAAUGUUCUUUUGACAUCAUUGUUUUUCUAUACUGAGCUGAAGCUUGCUGCUUCCAGGACAUGGAUAGAGGAGAUUAUUUUGAAUUAAGUUUGGGCAAAAAAGACCUGGACAGAUCAAAGAAAUACAUCCAGACGUUGCAGGUAUCACCAUAUUCCAUUGCUAUUACUAUAUUUGUAUUAGUACCCCGAUAUUAGUAUGUGGUUCAUUUUCCAGAUUUGAUAUUAGUAGCCUGAGAAAUAAUAUAUUGGAAAAACUUAAAUUUAUUGGAAAAACAUUUGCUGUUGGACAGUUAUGAUUUUUAGUGUCUACGCUGAUGGUUUCAUAUUCAGUUGUUGUGAUGAUGAUAAUUGUUAUGAUUUAUUCAUUUACAAUGAUCUGUAGCUGCUGUAGUGGAUUAUUACAUGAUUCUGGACCAUGAUAUGCUCAGUUUUACACAUGUAAAAUAUAGAUUUCCCAGUGGCAUGUGUAUUGAGAUGCCUUACUUGUUCGUCUAUUGAUUACUUGGUUAUUUGUGACUUCUGCUGCUCUAGUGCUUGCUUUAGAUGAUCUGAUUUUCAAUAAGUGCAUGUUAUAACACUAAAAACAUUAUGAUCAUCAAAGUAGUGUACUCUCUUGCCAAGUAUUUCUCAGUACAGGAGUUCAGUUAGUGAUAUUGCUCUGUUAAUUCACAACUACAUGAAGUACCAUAUAACUUGAGAAAUCCUCAACUCUGAUCCUAGCUGCAACUACUUCACAAAGUUGGGACUGAAACCAACUUUCUGUUAAUUCACAAAGUUGUCUAUUUUCUCUUUCUAUUCUAAUCUUUCUGUUAAAGUGUUAUUGUAUUUACUAUGCACAUCGGGGCCAAGAGGCUGUCUACAAGCCUAGAACUCGAGUGUAACUUGCUUCUUGUCAAGCUUAUUUUCUUUCAGAGUUAAAUUGCGUUAAAUAUUUCUUUUGGCCAUUAAUUUUCUUGUCGAGCUGUCGCGUGUGGAGGAGCAGGCGAGCUGCUGCUGCUGGAGAUCAUGUGCUCCUGCUAGAUCUUCAUUGUUAGGUCGAAACUGAAUGUUGGUGUGGUUGAUUUUGAUUUGAAUUGUAAACGGAAUGUCGUGGUUGAUUUGAAAUCUAAAUUGAAAUGUACUGUUUAUAGCUGUUGUACUAUCUGUGUAAAAGCAUGGCUGUAAUGGAUUUGUAUUGGAAAUGGUGCAUGAAAA